UAUGUAGGUGGCAAGCGUUGUCCGGAAUUAUGGGGCGUAAAGCGCGCGCAGGCGGUCCUUUAAGUCUGAUGUGAAAGCCCACGGCUCAACCGUGGAGGGUCAUUGGAAACUGGGGGGACUUGAGUGCAGAAGAGGAGAGUGGAAUUCCACGUGUAGCGGUGAAAUGCGUAGAGAUGUGGAGGAACACCAGUGGCGAAGGCGACUCUCUGGUCUGUAACUGACGCUGAGGCGCGAAAGCGUGGGGAGCAAACAGG
rnacentral:rRNA from 1 species